UCAGGAUGAACGCUAGCUACAGGCUUAACACAUGCAAGUCGAGGGGCAGCAUGGAGUUGCUUGCAAACUCUGAUGGCGACCGGCGCACGGGUGAGUAACGCGUAUCCAACCUUCCCUAUAGUAGAGGAUAGCCCGGCGAAAGUCGGAUUAAUACUCUAUGUUUUCCGUUGCAGACAUCUAAGAUGGAACAAAGGCUUGCCGCUAUAGGAUGGGGAUGCGUCUGAUUAGGUAGUCGGCGGGGUAACGGCCCACCGAGCCAUCGAUCAGUAGGGGUUCUGAGAGGAAGGUCCCCCACAUUGGAACUGAGACACGGUCCAAACUCCUACGGGAGGCAGCAGUGAGGAAUAUUGGUCAAUGGACGAGAGUCUGAACCAGCCAAGUAGCGUGCAGGACGACGGCCCUAUGGGUUGUAAACUGCUUUUAUGCGGGGAUAAAGUUCACUACGUGUAGUGUUUUGUAGGUACCGCAUGAAUAAGGACCGGCUAAUUCCGUGCCAGCCGCUGC
rnacentral:rRNA from 1 species